GGCUGUCUCUGUGAGGGCAAUGGUGGUCACUCCCAUUGCCACAUCACGUCUAUGUUCCUUUAUUCUCUGGUGGAGUAUCCUCUUAGUGACCCCUACAUAUGAAGUAUCUUGGUUGGACUCCUUCAGGUUGACUGGGAUUCUAUAAAUACCUGAUUUUUGUAUGAUGUGGGUUCUCUUUUCUUUAUCACUCCUGGUGCUGUCAAACACGGUGGGGGCCCUACGUAUUGCUGGUUUCUUUCCUGUUUUGUUCAAGAUUGUCUUCGUUGUAGUUCGGUUAGCCACUUGCAUAGGCAUUGGUGCAUAUUUCUUUUCUAUUUCCUUAUCUCUAUCCUUAUUUCUUUGCUUAUGUAGUUGCCUUUUGACUUUCUUUGUAUCUGCUUCAUAAGUCCGUAUCUUUAUC
rnacentral:lncRNA from 1 species